CCUCCCAGGUUCAAGCGAUUCUCCUGCCUCAGCCUCCCAAGUAGCUGGAACUACAGAUAACUGAUACCGUGCUUCCAGAAGAUUUUUCUAACAGUGUUUGCAAGCUAUAAAAUAGUGCUUUCACUUAGAAAAGGCUAGACGUGGUGGUUCAUGCCUGUAAUCCCAGCACUUUGAGAGGCCGAGGCACCAUGCUGGGAGAUAAGGAUCCAACAUAAGACAAACAGUGCUGAUGCUUUUGGAAAGCUCAUAUUCAAGCUGGGGAGACAAACAACAUACAAGAGGGCUCUGAGAGAUUUCAUUUCUGUCCUGCUGAUGAAGUCUACGUUCAUUCAGGGCCUGCUGUGGAAGACCAGCCCCAAAGUUGCUGAACAGAAGACUUUUGAGAGUCAGCAGAAAUCUUCCACUUUGCAUGGUUCUCUUGAUGUGAAAUCAUCUAUAUAGCCCCAGAAUUGGAAAAGAAAAAAAAUAAAAAAAUGGAAGGAAACUGGA
rnacentral:lncRNA from 1 species